rnacentral:tRNA from 1 species
GACAGCGUGUCCGAGUGGUUAAGGAGAUGGACUUGACAUCCAUUCGGCUCUGCCUGCGCAGGUUCGAAUCCUGCCGCUGUCG